AGUGAACGCUGGCGGUAGGCCUAACACAUGCAAGUCGAACGGCAGCACAGUAAGAUCUUGCUCUUACGGGUUGCGAGUGGCGGACGUGUGAGGAAUACAUCGUAAUCUACUUUUUCGUGGGGGAUAACGUAGGGAAACUUACGCUAAUACCGCAUACGACCUACGGGUGAAAGCAUGGGAUCUUCUGACCUUGCGCGAUUGAAUGAGCCGAUGUCGGUUUAGCUAGUUGGCGGGGGAAAGGCCCACCAAGGCGACGAUCCGUAGCUGGUCUGAGAGGAUGAUCGGCCACACUGGAACUGAGACACGGUCAAGACUCCUACGGGAGGCAGCAGUGGGGAAUAUGGGACAAUGGGCGCAAGCAUGAUCCAGCCAUACCGAGUGGGUGAAGAAGGCCUUCGGGUUGUAAAGACCUUUUGUUGGGAAAGAAAAGCAGCAGGUUAAUACCCCGCUGUUCUGACGGUACCCAAAGAAUAAGCACCGGCUAACUUCGUG
rnacentral:rRNA from 1 species